UGAUUGCUAACUUGUGUGUGUGUGUCUA
rnacentral:piRNA from 1 species